GGACUCGCUCAGCAGUACAUCUACUGAAACUGCUGUGAUACACAGAUUAGCAUGGCCCCUAUGCAGGGAUGACACACACUUUUGUGAAGUGUCCCAUAUUUUU
rfam:Myotis davidii contig46691, whole genome shotgun sequence.